AGAGAGAGAGAGAGAGAGAGAAAAUUUUAUACUAAAAUGAAGAAUCACUGAAUGAAUGGCGUCUCUUCUGUCACUUUGUUACUCCAAAAGAGCAUGAUGAGAUAUUACUUCUCGCCAGUAAGCUGUACUGAAUUGCAUCCGUCAUAUAAUUUUCAUUAGGCAACUUCGAACUGGUUGGAUGCAUCCCCCGUACUAAUAAUCUUGACCUCCCUUAGUUCCUACAUCAUUUCAUGGUUUUCUUAACAAUACAGCAAACAAUUAAGUGUCCAACCAAAUUGUACCAUUUUUAAAGCAUAUAUAUAUCUGCAAAAUAAGAGGGGAAAAAGAACUGGUUUGUUAGGUGGGAUAACAGAAUUUAAUCACCAACUUUCAUUUUCCAUACUUAAAAACAGUAAAAGGCAAAUCCAUUCUCCAAUGGUCAUCAUAAAAACUGAUCACUUGCGUACUGCUCAUGGCCUAGUAUCUUUAUAAAUUUUUAUCCGUGCAAUAUACAUGACAAUCUAGCACAUCUGGGGAAUUUAACCUAGUCCAUACCAUUGGAAGUUACCAUAACUUCCAAGAUACAACAUGCAAAGACAAAGGCGGGCAUAGGUGUUUUAUUGGGGGGGCGCCUGCCGAUGGGGAGAGGAGGGAGGAGGAGUUUUUAAAAUUAAAAUUUUACGCCAUAAAUUCUUCAAGAAAAUUAGUGUUCCUCUCCCCUAAAAAAAAAUUUUAAAUUUUACCUAAAUAUAUUGUUUAGCUCUUUAAUAUUUUUAUUUUGACUCCUGCACUUUAAUGAAAAUUUCAUUCAUAUUGUUUACAUUAUUUAAUUUUGAUCUCAAAAUAUUUCUAUAUUUUUAUUUUAGUCCCUAUACUUUUAUCAAAAUUUUAUUUAGUUUCUUUUUUAGUAUCUAUUUUUGGCCCUCCAAAAGAUAAACUCCUAGUUCCGCUCCUGUGCAAAGACAUCCUUGGAUAUGAAUACAAUGGUAAAGGGGCACCCAAGUUGAACAAACAGGCUGGACAGCAUAAAGAAGUUUUGGCAGCAGGGGAAGUUUCAUUUCCUUGAUUAAAGCUUGACAAGGAAAUUAUUUAUAAACAGUUUACUAGAACAUUUAACAGAACAUGAAGGUCUAGAAGGCUUAACUUUGCAAACGGCACCUACCAUCUGCCCUCCUGCCAGAUUAUCCUAAGUUUCAAAGGCAAGACAAGGGGCACUUGGAAGUCAACAAGCUAGUUCCUUCUACAUUCUCAGAAUACAAAGCAUUUGUUAAAGAAUUGCUAUUGCAUGCUAAUCAGGCUAGUAUUUAAAAAGCAACUUUGAGUGUGUGCGUCUAGGCAUUUUACCGAUUCACAUUAGGACACAUAUCUUUCAAGCCUAUGAAAUAUACAACAUUGAAGGAUGCUUAGAAGGUUAACAUCGAAAUUCAUUAUCAAAUACCUGCUGAUUCCUCGGCUAGAAUUUUGCCCCCUCUGAGAUUCCCCUUGAUUCGUGAAUUUCUGCCAAGGGAUUCACUAUGAAUCCACCACCACACUGAAGCCGUAACCUGUGACUCUCCAAGUUAUGCGUUUCAAGAUUGCCAUUUUUAUCAGCUCUAUGGCGCAUGGAAGCCAAUGACGGAGUGCCAGUAGAACAGAACCUAGAGGUUGAAUAGCGGCUUUCUGUUUUCCUCCAUAACUUGGAGCUCAAAAAGUCAGCACCAGGUAGCAUGCAACAGGUGGUUCUGUGGGAACCCGUCAUCCUUCCACUUGAUAUAGCCAAGUCAUAUGAGAUCUCAUCCAGUGCCAACUCUAAGCCAUGAACACGUGUCUCCAGAGAACGCAUUCCAUUUUGUGAAGUCCCAAUGAAUCUCUGUAGGAGAUCUAGUAGGCUAGAUUGCUGCCUUUCAAUCUGAACAAGUUGGUUGCGAAUCAAAGAUAAAUCCUCACACUCUUUGUGGUUAUUAUGGUGAUUCUCAAUGACAUUACUUGCUACAACAGUUGAUACUGGACUCUCCUCAUGGCAAGGAACUACACGAGAACCAGACUUCAGACAUCCAAAUUUAAGUGUCUUCUGGUCAGAAUUCUUACUCAGAGGGGUCCGUUUUGUUUCUGGUUUUGUCAACUUUCUUUCUGGGGCAUUAUCAUUAUCACCAAACCCAGAUGAAGUACCAUUAGGAAUUGCAACUUCAACUUUCCAGUCCAAGGGCCUCUUGCAGUCCACUUUUCUGAACAAUGAUGGACCUGUUUUCUUUUCAGCACUCUUUAAAGAACCCCUCCUCCUAGCUAUAUUCACUGCUGAAUGAUCAGGUGGAGUAGUCCUGCUUGCUAAACUGGUUUUUUUCCUCAUUUGAGGGGCUUCAGAUCCAGCAGCACAAGAGUUUUUGGAACCAAGUGGGCAGUGCCCAUCACUUGCAACAUCUGUUUCCACAAAAAACAAAAUCCACAGACUAUUCUUUUAGAUGAACAACGAGAAAAUGCCAUUGAAGUUGUCAUGGCUUUUAAAUAAUCUGCCAUACAAAGAUGAUGGUUAUCCUAGGUAGAUGACUACAACUCAAAAGUCUAAAAAUGAAUCCAAAACGUCACAAAUGAUCUAUAACAGUGUAGACCAUUAUAAAUCCAAUAAUUGUAAAUAAAGAAUCCAAAAGCUAGAAAUUCAAUAGCUUUCAAUCAGCAGGAAAUUUUCCUUUUGAAAUUUAUCCCUUUACCAUAACAAAUCAAGUGGCUCGGAAACAUCUAUCAUCCACAGAUAUCCUAUCAAACCAAAAAGGGCAGCACCGACUCCUUUUACCUUUUGAAGAAGCCUGAGAUCGAGGUGGUGGCGACACAUCCUCUGAAACAUCUGGAACCUGCUUCCAUGCUUCGAUCAUCUGAUUCAUCACUUCCCUUGCAGCUUUCACCUUAUCGAAUUUCCGUUUCUCAAAAACUUUCAAGCACCCACUCUUGAACUCCGCCAUGGCAUCUCUCUCCACAACUGCCAACCUCCCGAGCGCCUCCGCUGCUGCCUUCCUCGCUGCCCAGUCCUCGCUGCCCAAAAACCCGACUAAAGACUUUACCAAACCGGCCAUUCCCACAUAUCCUCUUAUUCCUCCUACCCCAAUCACACUUCCCAUAACAACCAAUCCAGCACUUUUAGCCUUAUAACGGUCGCUUUUCAACAGCCUCUCCAGCUUUGGCACGAGCGCCUUCCCCAACCUCCCCGGUUCUGGAUCUGGCGCCGCAUCUAUCGCGGCGGCCAAACACAAAGCGGAUCCAAUCUGUGCAUUCAAGUCCUGUUCCGUGAAAACAGAUUCGCUCAAUGGCUUCAAGAAAGAGGAAGAAAAUGGCUGUUUCGUGAUUUUCGAAGCAAGCGAAGAAACAGUGGAGACGCAUUGCGAGCGGAUAGAAGAGUCAGGGUCACGGAGGCGGCGUGCGACGUAGGAAAGGAUUCUGGGGAGGAAAGAAGAGAAAGAAUUGCAAUGGAGGACAGAAAGGGUGGAGAGGAGGUGAAGGCACUGCUUACGGACCAGAGGCUUGUCGGUGGAGUCGGUGGAGAGUAAACAUGAAACGAAGGUGGGAAGACUCGUAUUAUCCAGCGUUCCGGCAAUGGAUUCUAGCUCGGUGGCCGCGAGGUUGUAGGUGUCCCUGUCUGAUAGUUUGGUGAUCAAGGUAAGCACUUUCAGCUUCAGGCCUUGGGCCAUUUCCUUCUUUUUGCUUGAGUGGCACAAUGGAGUUAACGCUUGUUAGGAGGUGGCGCUGGCGGAAUUAGUAGCUGCAUUGCCGGUGAUAAUUUGGACGGGCAUGGAGCGGGGCAUGUGAGUAUCAACCUUUUAAAGUAGAAAUAUGGUGACAAGGAGCGGAGCGAGGGAGAAGGUGAUUAUCGAUUAAAGGAAAUAAACGAUGUCGUUUUAACACGAUUAGGACACCAAACGGUGCAGUUUAAGGAGUAAUUAUGAUAGAGUAGAUAAAGGAACAUGGGGUUUCUAAUUUUUCACUUCACUCAAAGAGAAUAAACAGAGCUGGAAGCUCCUAAGCAUGGCAGUUAAUCUAAUGCAUAACUGAUUAAGCGCUGCUUAAGUCAGCAAAAAAAAAAACCAAUUAAGAGCUGGUGAUUAG
rnacentral:misc_RNA from 1 species